rnacentral:lncRNA from 1 species
GAGGUUCUUCUAAAAGGGGAGAAUAUGUUAAUAUGUGACAGUACGUAGGAGACUGUCCGAAUAACGUUUCUCUCAAUACAGAACUCCAUGUGUGCUUCAUCACACGAUGCAUUCAGACUUGUUUCUUGUACCUGCUCAAGUCAUUUAACAUUCAACCAGUGGGUUUGUUCUCUGGGGACAGAAACUGCAAAUUGUACUUUACAAUAUCUGAAAUUGUUGAUUUUUUCCAAUUCAAAUGUUACUUAAAGUUCCCAUUGAAUUCAGCCUGGCUAGCACUGAACCCCUGAAUAGUUACCACGAGGAAAUCAAAAACUGAAUCUUAACACAGUCACUAACCCCACAGACCAUAAACAUGGCAAAUCUGUGGAAUGUUAGAGGGUAUUUGUACUGUAGGGUGGAUGCCCCUACUCUUUCCUCGCCCCUGGUGAAGUUAGGUGGCAGCUAAAAGAUACAUAUUUAGCCCAUAAACACUCAGUGGAAUUUAGUCCUGGUCUCCUAAGGGCACGAUGGUCCCCAAGCACUCUACUUAUAACUCCAUGAGUCUCACCCACUAUAGGACUAGGGACGACCGUUACCAUGGUGCUCGGUAUAUGAACGCUCCAUAAAUGACCUAAAUGAUCUGUAUGUACGUGAGGAUGAGAGCAGUGUUUUGGAGGAUGGAGCACAGAAGAUGGGAGACAACAGAAGAAGGUUAUCAGGGAUGAGUGGUAAGCGGAUAGGCUGCUGUUUAGCAGGUUAUGCUGAGAGUGACUCCAUGUGCUUUUGUUAUACACAGCAUCUCACUCAUCUCCAGUUGUUAUGGUAGGGCUUACACAUCUCUGUCUACGGGAUGGCUCACUUAUCACUGUCUGUGGAAGGACUCGAUUAUCUCUGUCUAUGGGAGGGCUCACUUAUCUCUGUCUACGUGAGGGCAUAAUUGUCUCCAAUUAUCUAUGGGGGGCUUGAUUAUCUCCAGUUAUCUAUGAGAGGGCUCACUUAUCUCUGGUUGUCUACCCAGGGACUGGCUUAUCACUACAGUAGGGCUCACAUACUGUUAGUUAUGGGGCUCACUUAUCUCUACCCUGGGGCACGCUCACCUCUUGUUAUUUACCCAAAGCUAGUUAUCUACCCAAGGGCUCUUGCUAUUUAGCUAGGGCUAUCUAGUUAUCUAUAUGAGAGCUCAUUCACCUCUUGUUGUUUGCAUGGAGCUUGUGCAUCUGUAGUUAUCUCCCUAGGUGCUCACUUGUCUCUGAUAACCUACCGUGGUGCUUUCUCACCUCCUAUUUACUUGGGGCUCAUUCAUCUGUAGCUUUCUACCCAGGUGUUCACUUAUCUUACAGGUAUCCUACCUGGGACAUGCUUACCUCUUGUUAUCUACUAUGGGCUUGCAUGUCACUUUUAAAGGACCACUAUAGUGCCCUGAGGGUGCCCCACCCUCAGGGUCCCACUCCCGUGGCGCUGAGGGGGAGGAAGGGGUUAAACUUACCUCUUUCAUCUGCGCCGGGCAGGGAGCUCCUCUUCGGGUGAAUGCGCAUGCGCGGCAGGAGCUGCGUGCGCAUUCAGCCAGUCUCAUAGGAAAGAACUUACAAUGUUUUCCUAUGGACGCUGGCGUCUUCUCACUGUGAUUUUCACAGUGAGAAGCACGCAAGCGCCUCUAGCGGCUGUCAACCUACCCGAAGUGUUCCUCAAUCUAUACUCAGAAGGUUUGUUUGUCUCUAGUUAUUUACAAGUGAAGACUGUCUCACUAUGAAUGGAAAAAAAUAAAAAAUAAAUCACUAAAUAUAAAACCCUUUUAUAACUUACUCUACCUACUAAUUAACUAGUAAGCAUAGUUUGGCGUUCCCAGCUACAUGAUCUGUCUGCGGGUAAUUAUCCUGAAAUCAUAACAGAUUAAAGCAAGCCCUCACUGCAUGACUAGGGUCCAGACCCUAAGGAGUUUUAAAUCGUCUUUUUGUCAUUGGCCACAACUCAAUAAUUCUAGAAUUAGGUGAAUACCUUAAAUCAGUCAGUAGGAACAUUUUGCAGUGCUGUAUUCAUGAUUUUUUACAUAUAUGUUAACAUGGUGUUAAUAAUACCAUUAGCCUGGGCACCCUAUAGUAUUCUGAGAAUACAUGUUUCCUUGCUUGACUUCCUGGGUCCAUCACAUGUUCUAAAACUUAUUACAGAGAUAUGGAGUAAGAAACAGCGAAUGCAAUGCCAGUUCUAUCAUUAAAUAAGCUUAUAAUGGGCUGCACAGUACUGAACAUAUUAAUGGUUUAUAAGCCUCCGCUUAAUAAUAUGUUUGUUAAGGUGGCUGGACCACUUCAAUGAACAGCUACCAAUGGUCUCUGGUUUGUGGACGGUACAUGUAAGGCAAUCCACCAAGACUGUUUUGGCAGCUAAUGUUUCCAUGUAUAUCAGAAUGGGAUAAGCUAUAUGUGAAGCCCAUGUGUAAGAAAGAAUGGGGCGUGCUAUAUCACUAGCCCAUGUGUAAUACAGAAUAUCCAGUGUGUAAGCAGCAUAGGACUUGCCAUAUCACUAUCCCAUGUGUAAUACAGAAUGGGGCGUGCUAUAUCACUAGCCAAAGUGUAAUCCAGAAUAUCCUUUGUGUAAUCCAGAACAAGGCGUGCUAUAUUAUUAGCCCAUGUGUAAUACAGAAUAUCCUGUGUGUAAUACAGAACGGGGCGUGCUAUAUCACUAGCCUAUGUGUAAUACAGAAUAUCCUGUGUGUAAUACAGAAUGGGGCGUGCUAUAUCAUUAGCCCAAGUGUAAUACAGAAUGGGGUGUGCUCAGUGGUGGAACUACCGCGGUUGCAGCUGCGACCAGGCCCAUCACUCCUGGAGUGUCUGUGUGUAUGUCUGUCUGUGUCUGUAUGUAUGUGUCUCUGUGUGUGUUUGUAUGUGUGUGUGCGCACCUAUAUGUGUGUGUCUGCAUGUGUAUCUGUUUGUAUGAGAGGGGGACAGUAGACGUAUGGGAUAGGGUGGCGGAGGAGUAGACAUACGGGGGGGUCAGGGCAGUUUUCGCACCGGUGCCCUGUGGUUUCUAGUUACACCACUGGGCCUGCUAUAUCAUUAGCCCAUGUGUAAUACAGAACUGGGCUUGCUAUAGCAUUAGGCCAUGUGUAAUACAGAACUGGGCGUGCUAUAUCAUUAGCCCAUGUGUAAUACAGAACUGGGCGUGCUAUAUCAUUAGCCCAUAUGUAAUAUAGAACUGGGCGUGCUAUAUCAUUAGCCCAUGUGUAAUACAGAACUGGGCUUGCUAUAUCAUUAGCCCAUGUGUAAUACAGAACUGGGCGUGCUAUAUCAUUAGCCCAUGUGUAAUGCAGAACUGGGCGUGCUAUAUCAUUAGGCCAUGUGUAAUACAGAACUGGGCUUGCUAUAUCAUUAGCCCAUGUGUAAUACAGAACUGGGCUUGCUAUAUCAUUAGCCCAUGUGUAAUACAGAACUGGGCUUGCUAUAUCAUUAGCCCAUGUGUAAUACAGAACUGGGCCUGCUAUAUCAUUAGCCCAUGUGUAAUACAGAAUAUCCCGUGUGUAAUACAGAAUGGGGCGUGCUGUAUCACAAGCUUUAAUGUCUCGGUCCCUUUCAUUGUGACAAAUAAAAACAAAUUAUUUUGCUCCUAUGAGGUUGCAGAUGAAUGUUGCUAUAUAUACAUUUUUAUAAUUUAAAUUCUGGAUUUGGUGUCAAAGGCUCGGAAAUGUAUUACACCUUUAAUAGGUGUAGAUCUCCAGAUUGGAAGACUGCAAGUCCCGUUGUCAGGGCUGGCUAAUGAUGAUGGGAGUUUUUCCACCAACAGCUGGGUUUCCUGUUGGCCUCCCGUGUCUGUGGUACUGGGUAUUAUUAUGUUAAUAAUAUUUGGAAGGUAUACAAGGUGAGUGUGAGUGUCAUGGCAUACAUGUUAUGAAUACCCUGCAUAUGUGGGAAACUGUAAACUUGAAGUCAUGUCAUCUGCCAAAUAUUUAAUAAAUGAUUAUCAC